UUUGUUAGAAUUGUUCUAUAUAUAUCACAAUGUUUGCUUCAUGCUCCCAAGCACUGAAUCUUCUAGGGACAAUUGCUCCCACCCUCCCCUAAGAGAUCUCUUUGAAAUGUGUAUACUCGUGAUGGGGUCUGACCUUGUCACUCAAUAGGUUGUAGAUCAUAGAGGUAGUUGAACAUUAUUAGUUUUGGUUGACCUUAUCUUCUAUAUUUUCCCCUUAUAGUACCUAUGCUUGUUAUCCUAGUUUUUUCGCUUUGGAAAGCCAUCUGUUUCCAAUUUAAGAUACUGUUGUAACUAUUGAAAACUUUAACUUGUCAAUUAUUCUCAUAUGAGAAGGAUCUCGUAACCCAUUGGACCACCCUUCUCUGUUUUGUUGACAUUCACAAUUGAGUUGGACAUACUUGCUAGACAAUUGGAUUAUUAUAUAAUUUAUUGGAAAAUGGACCAUAGCUUUUUAUAGCUUUAUUUUUCAGAAUCAUUCUGCAUCAUGGCUGAUGGUCUGCUUUGGACUACCCCUUUGAUAUACCAUUUCCUAUGCAGAGAAAAUUGCUUAGUUGGGCGAUCUCUUUUCUGCCUUGGGUUGCUUAUUCGUUAUGGAAACUCUUUGCUGAGUACAUCCUGCUCCAGUAACAAAAAUAUAGAUGUCAAGAACAGCCUCAACUUGUUUAAAAAGUAUCUUCAUGCGGAGGAUUUUGUUCUAAAGGUCAGAUCGUUGCAGGUAUGCCCCUUCAGCAUUUGCCCAUAAAUGUGCGUGUACACCCCCACCACGGAAGAGGGAGGGAGAGAUUUUAGCUCGUCUUAUUUAACUUGUAAGUUUUGAAUUUCUGUAGGCAUUAGGUUAUGUUUUGAUUGCUAGGCCUGAAUAUGUGUUGGAAAAGGAUGUUGGGAAAAUUUUGGAGGCAACACUCUCUUCUAGUACUGACGUGCGACUUAAGAUGCAAGCGUUGCAAAAAAUCUACGAGUAUCUUCUUGAUGCAGAAAGUCAAAUGGCAACUGAUAAUACCAGUAAUAAUACGGUUAAUUAUUCCGUAGAUGUUGGCCAUAGUGUUCCUGUUGCUGCAGGUGCCGGUGAUACUAAUAUCUGUCGGGGAAUAGUUCAAUUGUAUUGGGAUAACAUCUUAGGAAGAUUUUUAGAUGUGAAUGAACAAGUUCGCCAAUCUGCUGUGAUGGUAAAAUCUUGUCCGUGUUCUUAUCCUUUGUUGUUUGUCUAAAUUUUUUGGAUUCAAAUGAGUGAACUGGUCUGCCCAAACAAGCCAAUCAGUAUACAGAAAUAUUAAUUAUUUACUGAAACAUGAGAACGAAGUCUCAGACUAAUAUUUAUUUAUUUUUUAUUGUGGAUUUACUGGUCAUUUGGUCAUUCUGGCCUGGAAUUCAUAAAUGGAGUUUCUCAUGUGAAAUUCAUGAUCUUACUGUUAUCAGUAUCUACUGUAACCUUUACAUUGUGCUACGUCAAGGCCUAGUUUAUCCUAUUACUUGUGUCCCAUACCUUAUUGCCCUUGAAACAGGUCCUGAGGAGGCAAACUCAAUGCUGGCUCAUCAUCUUCUGAUGAAUAUGAAUGAAAAGUAUUUCCCUCUAUAUGCUUCCAAAUUUUGGGUACCUUGUUAAUCUGAUUAUUCUAACUAUUGAAAGCAUCCUUCCAGAUAUCCAGCAUUUUUUGAAAGCCGUUUGGGAGAUGGCCUUCAAAUGCCCUUUAUUUUCAUUAGGUCCGUGGGUGGAAGUUCUGAAAAUUCAAACCCAAAAGUCCAACUCAAGGCUUGGUGUUUCUCGAAUCUACAAGCUGAUCUGUGGGAAUCGUGUUUCAAGGAACAAAUUUAUGUGUCGGUAGUGUGCAAAUUCGAUACUCCUAGCUGGAAUCCUUCAGUCAUCCCUUUUCUGAUGUACUGUACUGAAAUGCUUGCUUUACUCCCUUUCACAUUGCCUGAUGAGCUGCUUUACUUGAUUUAUGCCAUAAAUCGAGUUAUACAGGUUAGAGCCGGUACAUGUGAAGCAAAUAUGAAAGCCUUUCUGCAUUCGUUACAAGAAGAUGCAAAGAUAGUGCAUGGUAAUGGGAUAACUCCGCAAUGGCCAUCUUCUCAACCUGUUUCCAGUCAUACUAUAUCAGCGGAUCCUAAUGGGACAUUUAAGGAAGAGCCAGCUGAUGAGCCUGUUUCUAAUCAUUCAGUGUCUGUGGAUUCAAAUUUGCAUUCUAGGAGUCCAUGCAAUUUAUGUGGCAUAUCUGAAGAUGAUUUGCAGAAAAUACAGGCUGACUGUCUCUCGGCUAUUGCGCUACAGCUACUUCUGAAACUAAAGAGGCAUCUAAAAAUUGUGUAUGGUCUAAAUGAUACACGAAGUCAGGAACUCUCUCCAAAUGAACCCCUAAAACUGGGGGAGGCUCUCUCAAAGCAGAACAUUCCCUUCAACACCAAUGAAACACGCAUUGAUCUGGCUAUCAAUCAUCAAGAAGUGUUGCAAAGAUAUCAGAUAGUGUGUGAGCACCGACAUUUUGAGUCACUGCAAAGUUUUCAUGCAUAAUGAAGAACAUCUACCUUUUUACUUAUCUAGUUCUCUUUGUGCGUCUUUGUUAGAAAGAAUUCAAGACUGCUUUGAAGGAAGACACUGUUGACUAUUCAACAUACACAGCGAACAUCAAGAGGAGACGGCCUCCUUCGAGAAGAGGGAUGAUGAAGAUUAUGAUGACGAUGAAGAUUGGGGAGGAAGUGGAAGUGGGGGCCGGAGGCUAAAUAACUGUGGGAGGAAAAGCAACAGUAGUAGAGGUAGGCAGUGGUAGUAGUUUGUAAAUACAUUUACAGGUAAAUCUAACAUCAUGUAUAUUAUCUAGGAAGGGGGGGAAGAAAAUAAAAAAAAAGGAGGUUAGAAUUGAGAACAGAAAAAA